GGUUUUGAGUUUAACUCUUAAUCUGUGACAGAAAAACAAAUCAAUCAACAUCAACCAUGAUUGUAUAUAUGUACAGAACAUGAAGGUCAUAAACAAUGGAUGGUUUUGGUGGACAUAACAUGCCAAAUCUUAUCAAGAUUUAGAGAAAAAGAGAGAGUUCAUCAUCCGUUUGAAGAAGCAGAACAGAGACUUGAAUUAAUUAUUGCAUAUGGCAUCGAAUACAAAAAUUCUCUUGCAUUUCGAGGAUCUGGCGCUCCCUUCGUUUCAGGUUAUAGUGAUGAGUGCAAACAUGGGAUGCGCUCAAUGCAGAGAGAAAGUCUCUAAAGUUACUUCUAAAAUGACUGGGCUGAGAGAGUACAUAGUGGAUGUAAGCAAUAAACAAGUGGUUGUAAAGGCAGAUUUUGGGUUUCGAUGGAAACUGAAAAAUGAAUUUUCCAAGACCGAAAAGAGAAAGUAUUGGCAUCUACUUGGAGUCUUCAAGUGUUUGGGCCUAAUUUGUUUCUGUAAACAGAUAGCAUUAGCUGAUUGAGCUAAGCAUUACCAAGGAAAAAAUAAAAUAGGAAGAAAAAAAAAGAAGGAAUUCUUUAAUGUUAUUGUAAUUUGAUUGGAAACUGUGCAUUGUUUGUACGAAUAACUUCUGUAAUUCCUUGGAAACUUAUUCCAUUUUUAAUCAUACUUCAAAUAUUCAUCAUUAUCUUUGAUGAAAA